rnacentral:rRNA from 1 species
UGGGGAAUAUUGGACAAUGGGCGCAAGCCUGAUCCAGCCAUGCCGCGUGAGUGAUGAAGGCCCUAGGGUUGUAAAGCUCUUUCACCGGUGAAGAUAAUGACGGUAACCGGAGAAGAAGCCCCGGCUAACUUCGUGCCAGCAGCCGCGGUAAUACGAAGGGGGCUAGCGUUGUUCGGAUUUACUGGGCGUAGAGCGCACGUAGGCGGACUUUUAAGUCAGGGGUGAAAUCCCGGGGCUCAACCCCGGAACUGCCUUUGAUACUGGAAGUCUUGAGUAUGGUAGAGGUGAGUGGAAUUCCGAGUGUAGAGGUGAAAUUCGUAGAUAUUCGGAGGAACACCAGUGGCGAAGGCGGCUCACUGGACCAUUACUGACGCUGAGGUGCGAAAGCGUGGGGAGCAAACAGG